AAAAAGGAAAGCUAGGGUUCCGGUGGCAUAGUGCCACGACUGGUCCAAGAGCUUUCGACCUGUUUAAGCCUGCGCACACCCAUUUUUGAGCAGUUUCUUAAGAGGUUACACGGCGGGAUAAAAGCCCGGGAGGC
rnacentral:sRNA from 2 species